GCAUCUGAGGCACGGAUGAGCACUGGGGCCUUGGAGGCCAUGAGAUGGGUGAGGGACAUGAUGGAGGAAGGGGCUAGAUCAGUGCUAAGUGGACCACCAUAUUUGGGAACAGCAAUCUAUGAUUGGAAAAGCAAAACAUUUGAAUGGUACAAACAUUUGAAGACCCUAGGGUCCUAGAGGAUGGCGCUUUCUAAGGGUGCUGGAGCAUCAGCUUACAAUGAGAAAUCAGGAUGUAAGACUCUUCUGACCACAAAAAUACCAUUGAAAAGAAAACUCUAUAAGAGAGGAACAUUUAAGAAGAAAACAAAGGGAGUUGAAGUUAAAAAGUAUAAUAGAAAUGGAAAAAAAACAAGAUAAAAUUGAG